rnacentral:lncRNA from 1 species
CUAAAGAAAGAGAGACAAGAUACCUAUAAGGAAUGGAAAAUUCAUACUUAAAAGAGGAGAGAUUUAAAGGAAACUUGGUGACAGCAGAGCUGAGCUGAAAGUGGAGGCGUUUAUGUGGAGGGUGGACGAAAAUGACAGAUAUUCUGCUUCAGCCUGGAAAAAAUGUGAAUGAUUUCCUACUGAAGGAUCAGGGCAGUUGCGGUAGCAGUUCUUCCUGUCUUUCUGAAGACACUGAGCUAAACCAAUAGCUGAAAAACAGUUUCUUUGGAUACUUGU